rnacentral:misc_RNA from 1 species
AAAGUCGUAACAAGGUAUCCGUAGGUGAACCUGCGGAUGGAUCAUUAUAGAAUGGUAAAGACAUCUCCUGUCUCUUACUACUCACAUACCUCUGUGGUGUAGAUAGAUGUGUCUGUUGGGUGGAGCGGCGGUCGCCGCGCGGUGUCAAGCCGCGCGCACUGUCGCUUGCCCGGCCUCAUACAAACCUACUCAACUUCUCUACUAAUACCGACUGAUGUUGCCUUGCGAGCGAGCGGUCGUGUCUCUGUGCACGGCUGCAGACUACCAAGUAAAACAAUUGUAAUCAAAUACAACUGCUAGCAACGGAUCACUCGGCUCUC